UACGAAGGGGGCUAGCGUUGCUCGGAAUCACUGGGCGUAAAGGGUGCGUAGGCGGGUCUUUAAGUCAGGGGUGAAAUCCUAGAGCUCAACUCCAGAACUGCCUUUGAUACUGAAGAUCUUGAGUCCGGGAGAGGUGAGUGGAACUGCGAGUGUAGAGGUGAAAUUCGUAGAUAUUCGCAAGAACACCAGUGGCGAAGGCGGCUCACUGGCCCGGUACUGACGCUGAGGCACGAAAGCGUGGGGAGCAAACAGG
rnacentral:rRNA from 1 species